GGUUACUGCUAUCGAGGUUCGACUAAGCCAUGCGAGUCGAAUGUAGCAAUACAUGGCGAACUGCUCAGUAACACGUGGACAACCUGCCCUUAGGUUGGGUAUAAACCCGGGAAACUGGGUAUAAUACCCGAUAGGUCUCGAUUGCUGGAAUGCAUCGAGAUUUAAAGCUCCGGCGCCUAAGGAUGGGUCUGCGGCCUAUCAGGUAGUAGUGGGUGUAGCGUACCUACUAGCCUACGACGGGUACGGGUUGUGAGAGCAAGAGCCCGGAGAUGGAUUCUGAGACACGAAUCCAGGCCCUACGGGGUGCAGCAGGCGCGAAAACUUUACAAUGCUGGCAACAGCGAUAAGGGAACCUCGAGUGCCAGGUUACAAAUCUGGCUGUCGAGAUGCCUAAAAAGCAUUUCAUAGCAAGGGCCGGGCAAGACCGGUGCCAGCCGCCGCGGUAACACCGGCGGCUCGAGUGGUAACCGUUAUUAUUGGGUCUAAAGGGUCUGUAGCCGGCCGGAUAAGUCUCUUGAGAAAUCUGGCAGCUUAACUGUCAGGCUUUCAGGAGAUACUGUCUGGCUCGAGGCCGGGAGAGGUGAGAGGUACUUCAGGGGUAGGGGGUGAAAUCUUGUAAUCCUUGAAGGACCACCAGUGGCGAAAGGCGUCUCACCAGAACGGA
rnacentral:rRNA from 1 species